rnacentral:tRNA from 1 species
AAGAAAAGUAUACUAGAAUUGGUGAGUGGAGUAAUGAAAAUACUGUUUUAGUAUUUUUCAUUACUUUUUUUUUG